rnacentral:rRNA from 1 species
GUUACAGCAGCCGCGGUAAUACAGAGGAGCCAAGCGUUGUCCGGAUUGACUGGGCGUAAAGCGCACGCAGGCGGACGCGCGCGUGGGGUGUGAAAUCUGGCCGCUUAACGGCCAGGCGCCAUCCCAUACGGCGCGUCUGGAGCCUUGCAGAGGUCGAUGGAAUUGCCGGUGUAGUGGUGAAAUGCAUAGAGAUCGGCAGGAACACCCAGGGGGAAACCAGUCGACUGGGCAAGUGCUGACGCUGAGGUGCGAGAGCGUGGGGAGCGAACCGGAUUAGAUACCCUCGUAGUCC